UAGAGUUUGAUCAUGGCUCAGGACGAACGCUGGCGGCGUGCCUAAUACAUGCAAGUCGAGCGGACAGAUGGGAGCUUGCUCCCUGAUGUUAGCGGCGGACGGGUGAGUAACACGUGGGUAACCUGCCUGUAAGACUGGGAUAACUCCGGGAAACCGGCUAAUACCGGAUGGUUGUCUGAACCGCAUGGUUCAGACAUAAGGUGGCUUCGGCUACCACUUACAGAUGGACCCGCGGCGCAUUAGCUAGUUGGUGAGGUAACGGCUCACCAAGGCGACGAUGCGUAGCCGACCUGAGAGGGUGAUCGGCCACACUGGGACUGAGACACGGCCCAGACUCCUACGGGAGGCAGCAGUAGGGAAUCUUCCGCAAUGGACGAAAGUCUGACGGAGCAACGCCGCGUGAGUGAUGAAGGUUUCGGAUCGUAAAGCUCUGUUGUUAGGGAAGAACAAGUGCCGUUCAAAUAGGGCGGCACCUUGACGGUACCUAACCAGAAAGCCACGGCUAACUACGUGCCAGCAGCCGCGGUAAUACGUAGGUGGCAAGCGUUGUCCGGAAUUAUUGGGCGUAAAGGGCUCGCAGGCGGUUUCUUAAGUCUGAUGUGAAAGCCCGGCUCAACCGGGAGGGUCAUUGGAAACUGGGGAACUUGAGUGCAGAAGAGGAGAGUGGAAUUCCACGUGUAGCGGUGAAAUGCGUAGAGAUGUGGAGGAACACCAGUGGCGAAGGCGACUCUCUGGUCUGUAACUGACGCUGAGGAGCGA
rnacentral:rRNA from 1 species